rnacentral:lncRNA from 1 species
UUUCUUUCCUACAUAUGACUAUUCCAGGUUAAAUGCUGGCGUGUAAACACAUUUAAUACAGGAGUAAUAUAAGUUCAGGUAGACGUGAAUCUUUCUGUCCCCUGUAAGAAUUUAUGAGUGGUAGUAACUAACGAUGGUACUCUACUUUGUUUCAUCUUUUAGAUUGUAGUGCCUAGUUUUAACUGUCCUUUGUCUUCUAUCGUAAAUCAGAUCCCACUAUGCUUAAGAGCAUCUGUUGUAGGAAGGAAAAAGAUCAGUAUCACUUAUUUAUUUAUAUAUUUAUUUAUUUUAAGCUGUUAAUUAAUUUUUAAAUCGAAGUAUGGUUGCUAUACACUCUAAGUUACAGGCAUACAAUAUAUUGAUCCACAGUUUUUAAAGGUUAUACUUCAUUUAUAAUUAUUAUAAAAUAUUGGCUGUGUUCCCUGUAUUAUGCUAUGCUCUAUAUCCUUAUAACCUAUACCUAAUAGUUUGCAUUUUUUUUUUUUUUUUAGGGCUGCACUUGUGGCAUAUGGAAGUUCCCAGGCUUAGGGUCUGAAUUGAAGCUAUAGCGGCCGGCCUAUACCAUAGCUGCAGCAACUUGGAAUAUGAGCCUUGUCUGCGACCUACACCACAGCUCACAGCAAUGCUGGAUUGUUAACCCACUGAGCAAAGCCAGGGAUUGAACCCAUGUCCUCAUGGAUACUAGUUGGGUUCAUUACUGCUGAGCUAUGACAGGAACUCCAGUUUGCACAUCUUAAUACCCUACCUCUCUACUACCCUCCCUCCCCCACUGGUAACCACUGGUUUGUUCUGAGUCUGCUUCUUUUUUGUUAUAUUCAUUAGUUUACUGUAUUUGUUAGAUACCACAUAUAGGUCAUAUCAUAGAGUAUUGGUCUUUAUCUGAUUUAUUUCACUUAGCACACAUAAUGCCUUCCAAAUCCAUCCAUGUUGCUUCAAUUGGAAAUAUUUUCUUCUUUUUAUGGCUGAGUAGUAUUCCAUUGUAUAUAUUCCACGAAUAUAUUAUAUCUUUAUCCAUUCAUAUGUUUAUGGUCACUCAGGUUGCUUCCUCUUGGCUACUGUAAAUAAUGCUGCUGUGAACACUGGGGUGCACAUAUCUUUUUAAAUUAGUGUUUUGGGGGUUUUUUGGGGAUAUAUAUGCAGAAGUGGAAUUGCUGAGUCAUACAUUUCUAUUUUUAGCUUUUUGGGAAAAUUCCAUACUGUUUUCCAUACACAAUUUAUAUUCCUAUCUACAGGGUUCAAGAGUUCCCUUUUCUCUUCAUCCUUGGCAAUGUUUGUUAUUUGUGUUCUUUUUGAUGAUAGCCAUUCUGACAGGUGUGAGGUGAUACUUUAUCGUGGUUUUGAUUUGCACUUCCCUGAUGAUUAGCGAUAUUAAACAUCUUUUUAUAUGCCUAUUGGCCAUCUGUAUGUCUUCCUUAGAAAAAUGUCUAUUCAGGUCUUCUGCCCAUUUUUAAUUGGGUUGUUUGUUCUUUUGAUGAGCUGUUGGAUAUACCCCCUUAUUGGGCAUAUCAUGAUAUAAAAUAUCAUUUGCAAAUAUUUUAUCCCAUUCAGGAUGUUGUCUUUUCAUUUUGUCAAUGGUUUCCUUGGCUAUGCCAAAGUUUGUAACUUUAAUUAGGUUCCAUUUGUUUAUUUUUGCCUUUAUUUUACUUUCUUUAGAAGAUGAAUCCAAAAGAAAUUAUUGCUAUGAUUUAUGUCAAAGAAUUGCUCUGCCUAUGUUUUCUUCUAAGAGUUUCAUAUUAUCCAGUUUUACAUUUAGUCUUUAAUCCAUUUUGAGUUUAUUUUUGUAUAUGCUGCUAAAUAAUGUUUUAAUUUCAUUUUUUUACAUGCAGCUGUCCAGUUUUCCCAAGGCCAACUUAUUGAAGAGACUGUCUUUUCUCCAUUCUAUAUUCUUGCCUCCUUUGUCACAGAUUGUUGAUCAUAAGUGUGCGGGUUUAUUUCUGGGUUCUCUAUCCGAAGUUGUGUUUCUGCAUCAAUUACAAAAUAAGACAUAAAUGAGUAUCCUUUAAAAAUUAUGGACAUAAGCACUGCCUUAGUCUGUUCAGAUGAUUGUAACAAAAUACCUCAGACUGGGAGACUUAUAAAUAACAGAUAUUUAUUUCUCAUAGUUUUGGAGGCUGGGAAGUCUAAAAUCAGGGUGUCGGCAGGGUUGAGUUCUGGUGACAGCCCUCUUUCUAGUUUAUAGCUGGUAUCUUCCCACUGUGUCUUCACAUGGUUGAAAGAGCUAGGGAUCUCUCUGGGAUCUCUUUUACAAGGCACUAAACCCAAUCAUGAGGAUUCUACGCUGUGGAAUUAUAUAACCUCAGCUAAAAUUAAAGCCAGGACAAGUCUGUAGGGGUAGCUCUCACUCUCUGCCAUACAUAAUCAACUACUUCAAACAGGAAAAGACUUUAGUCUCUAUGUCCAACAGGAAGGUGCCUUUUUUUAAUUAUCCAGCAGAAAGAAGAAAAUUUCUCUCCACCCCAAUCUGAGGCUGUAGCAGCCCAACCAAUGAGAAGCCUCCAUAGUUACCACAGCCCCUCCCAACCCUCACCUUUUCCCUGCAAAGGCAAGUACCCUCCUUUCUUCUAGCUCUUCUUUUAACAACAUUAACUUUGUGUUUUAUUGGACAUAAUGUUAUUAGUGUGUCUUUUCAUAUCAUUUGGAAAUGUGUUCCUAUAAUUCCAAAAUUAAAACUUACUCUUUUUUUCUUUUUGACCACUUCUGUGGCAUGUGAAACUUCCCAGGCCAGAGAUUGAACUUGUGCCACAACUGUAACCAGAGCCACAGGAGUGACAACGCAGGAUCCUAAACUUGCUGAGCCACCAGGGAACUCCAAAAACUUACUCUUAAAUAUUUGAAUUCUUGUUUUAUAAUUCUUGCUUUAGUGAAUAUCAUAUACUAAAAUAUCCAAUGGAAUAAUUUUGUGUGAUUAGAAGUCAUGUCCAAUAAAGUUAAGCAAGACUACAGCUUUUAUAUAAAGAGAGAUGAGCUUGAUUUAGGAUUUUGUGUAUCUUAUGUUGCUAGAUUGCUUAACCUAGAAAGGGGAAAAUCCUAAAAUGGAGAUUAAUUCUUGAUACUACAAUAACACCACAUCUAGGCUUCUGACUGGCUUGUGUGAAAUGAAUGUGUGGGUUUCUCAGACAACCACCUCACAGCACUCAGACCAGUAUGAUUUACCUAGUAUUUUGGACAUCCAGGGAGAAAAGGCUUAGACUUGAGGGUGGUUCCCUUCUCCCUGGGCAGAAGGGAAGGGGGAAGGAGGAGGAAAGAAAGAGAACUGUAUUUAAAAUUUUACCUUCUUAGGGUAGAUACUGAGUAUUCCAAAGCUUGUAAAUAAUAGGAUAAUGCUCCCCACUGAAAUUAGGACCUUGUCUUUAUGUUAUAAAUAAAUUUAUAAUUUCCUAAUUGCUAUUGAUAUUUGUUGCAGCCUAAACAAGCAGAUGUGUUUUUAAAUUAGAUUUGCCUAUAAUAAACUAAUGGAUGUCUCAAGUUCAAUUUUUUCUUAGACCCUUAUUUUAUGAAAGUAUUUUAAUUGUGUUUACUGAAAGAAAUAUGCACAAUUAAAUUGACUUCUCUGUGAUUACAUAUUUCAUAACUUCCUUUGAUAUAUAAUCUUUAUUGAUAAAGUGGUUAUUCUCAAAAGUAAAUGGAGGCAAAUGAUUGUGGUAAACAGUAAAAUUAAAUAUUUAUAAAUAAAUAUCAAAUGUAUUUCCUCUAAAAUGAGUCAUUUCUGGAGAAGACACAUGUGCUUAUAAACGUGAUUUAGGCACUUAAUAUAUUAAGUUUAUUCAGUAUUUUCUCAAAACAGUUAAUCUAUUUUUCUCUCUCUCUUGCUUUUUCUUUUUAGGGUCGCACCUGCGGCACAUGGAAGUUCCUAGGCUAGGGUGGAAUCAGAGCGAGUGUAGCUGCUGGCCUGCACCACAGCCACAGCAACAUAGGAUCCAAGCUGUUUCUGUGAACUACACCACAGCUCAACACCAGAUCCUUAACCCACUGAGCAAGGCCAGGGAUUAAACCUGUGUCCUCAUGGAUGCUAGUUGAGUUGUUACCACUGAGCCACAAUGGGAACUCCCAAAACAGUUAAUUUAUUUUUCAUUUAACUACUGUUGUUUAAAAAAUUACUCCAAGACUUGUUGGCUUAAAACAACACAAUUUUGCUAUGCCUCACAAUUUUGUUGUGCCUCACAAUUUUGUUAUGCCUCACAAUGUGUGGAUUGGGAUUUGGCAAUGGCUUUUUGAUUUCAUAUUACUAGGACUCACUGGAAUGUCCAGGAUGCCUGCUUCCCUCACAUCUUCCACUUGGGCUGGACUGACUCUCUUGGGGUCAGAUCGUUGAGUCUUUGGUUCCUCCUGUUGGCUGGGCUCGUUGGUCUUCUCCAGAUAGCAUCAGAGCCUCUCUCCAUGUGGCCUCUCUAUGUAGUUCUUCUGGCAAGGUAGCCAGACUCCUCAAGUUGUCAGGUAUAAGCCUGGAACUAACACACAGUCACGUCUGUCACAUUGUGUUGGCUAAAGUAAAAUCACAGGGUCAGCCUAGAUUCACUGUGGGAGAGGACACACAGGGUAUGAAUACUAGGAUGAGUGGUUCAUCAGGGAAGAGGGAGUACCUUGCGGAGUUUAGCUGCUUCAGUCCAUGUGUUCCUUGACCACAUCAUUUCCUGGAUCCUCAAGGGUAAAAACUGAAUAUUUCUCUUGGUGUAUCUUUUGUGUUGUCUGAGGCUAAGAAAUGCCUUUCACAAGCAACAAGUUCCUAUUACAUAGCACGGGGAACUAUAUUCAAUAUCCUGUAAUAAACCAUAAUGGAAAAGAAUAUGAAAAAGAAUACAUAUAGAAGUUCUCACUGUGGCGCAGUGGGUUAAAGAUCUGGUGUUGCUGAAGCUGUGGUAUAGGCUGCAGGUGCAAUCUGGUUUGAUCCCUGGCCAGGGAACUUCCAAAUGCCACAGGUAUAGC